GAGGAAUAUUGGGCAAUGCCCGCAAGGGUGACCCAGCAACGCCGCGUGGAGGAUGAAUGUCGUAAGAUUGUAAACUCCUGUUAGAGGGGAAGAAUAGUACCGGUUGGACCGGUAUAUGACUGUACCCUCAGAGAAAGCCCCGGCUAACUACGUGCCAGCAGCCGCGGUAAUACGUAGGGGGCAAGCGUUGUCCGGAUUUACUGGGUGUAAAGGGCGCGCAGGCGGGAUAAAAAGUCAGUGGUGAAAUCCUACAGCUUAACUGUAGAACUGCCUUUGAUACUUUUAUUCUUGAGUUCGGGAGAGAGAGACGGAAUUCCAGGUGUAGUGGUGAAAUACGUAGAUAUUUGGAAGAACACCAGUUGCGAAGGCGGUCUCUUGGUCCGACACUGACGCUGAGGCGCGAAAGCGUGGGGAGCAAACA
rnacentral:rRNA from 1 species